CUGGCUGGGAAGGUGGGAGUUCAUUGCCUCUCCCCUACUGCUUUUCUGGUGGAGAAAGAAGAGGAGGACGCAAAGCGGACUGGGACCCAGAAGGAGAUUGCAGCGCUAGAAUGUGAACUCAAGAAAAUUAACAACACUAGCAGCAACAAACAAAUAAGCAGUAAAAACAUGGCUCCCGUAUUGCAGACUGCAGUUAAAGAUUCUCGGCUAGGCAUGAAGGCGGGCUCACUCACAAGUCGCCGUUUGAAUCCUGAAGCAAGCCACACAGGAAGCACAUGCAAGAUACAGAGAUUUACAAAUUAUGGAUUCGCAAUCAACUAAGAACCGAGUCCGGGAAUGACAAGGAGACAGCUGGUUCUACGAAUUGGUGAAAUAAAUGCUGUCAGCAAAGUCCUCCCUCUUCCCCUCCCCACAAGUAGAACUCAAGCCGUUAUGCGUCCUUUGAAGAUAGGGAGAAUCCAUCAUAUUUGGGGUUAUGUUGAGAUGUUGUGAUCGUAAGCCUGAAUAAGUCAUUUCCUAAGGAGAAAGUGGCUGAAUGCAGAUGUUCAUGUACCAAGUGUUAACUUAUAUAGCAUACACACUUGCUGAGGGAGAGCAUGUCAUUGGGUGCAUGUAACCAGAGGCAGUUUUAGGGCAACACAACUAGUUGAGUCGCACUGGGUGCCACACUGCAAGGGACACAUCAACAGUGCUAUAGAACAAAGUGUGAGAGGCA